GGCAAAAAGGAAACUAAACAAAGGCAUCUAAUAUAGAAACUACGGUCAUCUUCUCAAGACCUCCAUAGUACACGACCGGCUGUUCAUCAGUUGAGCUUCAGACCACAGUUGACGGAGGGUCUUCAUCUUCUACCGCCUUGAUGAACUCAGCUCAGGUAACAGUAACCCCAGAAAAGGCAAAUCAGCUCAACAGAGUUCGAAGGAAAGCUCCAUCUCCAAGUAGUACUUGUCAGCCUCAAAGCUCUCACCAAACGCUGUGGUAUCAGAUCCCAAAGCGAAGAAAUUUCUAAUUUAGCUUGUGUCGCUCCAUCCACUCCAUGAUACAGAAUAUAGAUCACGACGAUUCCGUCCAUCCACGUGGCUAAUUGGACAUCUUCUCAGAGUUAGCUAUUUUGGUCAAAGGGAAUAAAGACAUCAUAUGAAUGGGGAGAAAAUCCAAGACAGAACUAAGAAGAAUCAAUCUUCCUCCCAAAGAUAAAUAUUGUAAUUUUAAUCUUGCCAGUUUCUUCUUUCUUCUCACACCACCUAAAACUCCAGACCAAAUAUAUUUGGACUUACUUCUAGCUCCCCGAGGCAUCCCCAGGUAAAUAGAUGGGAUACUUCAAAUUUCUAAUCCCAAUAUGCCAGCCAAUUGUUGCAUUCUAUGCAUCUCAUUAAUCGGGAAAAUCUGACAUUUCCUCUCGUUAAUGUGAAGCACAGAAAGUGUAAAAAAGGAAGGCUGAGCCUUAGGCACUUCAAUUGUCUCUCCUCUGCAUCAUAAAAAUUAAGGUGUUAUCUGCAUACUGUAAGUGAGUUAUUUCGAAACUCUCAGCUUGAUUAUUUUCCACAUUGAGGCCUUUAGUCCAGACACUUAUGUGUGCAGUCUUCAACAUGUUGUUUAAACCUUCCAUAGCUAGUUUGAACAGAAAAGGUGACAGGGGACCACCUUGUCUCAAUCCUCUCUGAGAAAGGAAAAAAUCUUCAGGACUUUCAUUUAUCAAAAUUGAGAGCCCAGCAGUGCUUAUACAAAAUCUCAUCCAUUUGAUCAAUUGUCUUCCAAACAAAUUCUCAGUUGACAUUAUUGUGUGCUUUCUCAAUGUCUAAGUUGCACCCAGUGUUAUCAAAAAGUGAAAAGUGCAAACAAGCUCUAAGGUUUGUUGGGGCUUUAAUUGCAAAGCGCAAAUAAAGCGUGAGCUCUAUUGAGAAAAGGCGCAAAUGGAGAAAAGAUACACACACACACACACACAUAUAUAUAUAUGUUUAGUCCAAAAUUAAUAAAUAUAAGCAUGAAUAACAAAUAUAUGAACAAGGAAAUUGAUUGUUUUCACGAUAAAGUGAAAUAUCAUUGAUUUAGCGUCGCCCCUUCAGGAAAUGCUCAUUCACAAGGAAAAGUAUAUCUUGAGCCUUGAUGACGACACUGAAGCACACGUUAAGCGAGGCAAAGCGCUCAACACAUUUUGAGCCUCGCAUCAGGGCUUAAACACACUCUAAGUGCGUCUUUGAUAACACUGGUUGCACCAAAUACUGGUGUUUUUCCUUAGUCUGGAAUCUAUAAAUUCAUUAUCAAGAAUCUAUCCAUUUAUGCAUCACCUUUUAAAGCCUUUCAGUGAUUAGUUUGGAGAUCAACUUAUAAAUGCUCCCUAUCAAGCUGAUUGGCUGAAAGUAUCUCAACUCCUUAGCUCCAUUGUUUUUAGGGAUUUAAGUCACAUAAGUAGGACUAAAGCUUUUUACUAACAUCUCAUAGGAAUGAAAAUUCUGGGUAGUUGCCAUUAUAUUUGUCUUGACUAUCUCCCAACAGUUGAUGAAAAAACACAUGGCAUACCAAUCGAGUCCAGAAGCUUUGUACACUGCAGAUAGAGUUAAGCAUUCUAAGACUUCCAAUUCCUCGGUAGAAAUUGAAGGGUAAUUAUUCAUAUUAUAGCUAGGCUUCCAUUCCUCAAUUUCAGAAUAAUGUUUUUAAUAAAAGGUGAUAAUCUUGAAGGGAACUUUGUUUUCCUAUCUCCCUGUUUAAGCCAUAAUGUCCUGGAUCUUUUCUACAUGUUAUUUCUUCCUUUCUGGCAUACUCUUUAAACUCUAGACAAAGAUUUGCUUUCAAGAAAGUCUCCUCCUGAUUCAGAA